UCAGGGCAGAGCUUCAUUUGGGUGGUGAAGAAGGGAGCUAAAGGGAUCAGUACUGAAGAGGAAAAAGAAGAAUGGCUGCCGAAAGGGUUCGAGGAAAGGAUGGAAGGGAAAGGGUUGAUCAUUAGGGGAUGGGCGCCACAGGUGCUGAUACUUGAUCAUCUAGCAACAGGUGGGUUCAUGACUCACUGCGGAUGGAACUCCACGCUCGAAGGUGUGGCUGCAGGUGUUCCAAUGGUAACAUGGCCGCUACAGGCAGAGCAGUUCUUGAACGAGAAGCUGGUGACAGAUGUUCUGAGGGUCGGGGUUGGUGUUGGGUCACAGGAAUGGUCGAGGGGCGAGUGGAAAACCGUUGUGGGUAGGGAAGACAUAGAGAGAGCAGUGAGACAAGUAAUGGUUGGUGAACAUGCUGAAGAAAUGAGAGAGCGAGCAAUGGAGCUUAAGGAAAAGGCUGUAAAGGCUAAUGAAGAAGGUGGAUCGUCUUACACUGAUUUGAAAUCGUUGUUGGAGGAGCUUGCAUCUGUACGAGAGAAGAAGGAUGUUGAUUUCUCCAGCUUGAAACUGUAAUGCCCCUUGCAUGUUGCCGUCAUCUAUCAUUUCUCCUACAACAACAUGUGAUGCGAUUUGAGUAUUGAAAAGAAAUGUUCUCGAAGCAACUGAGAUUAUGGUAGUAGCUCAUGAAUUUCAUUAAGCUGUGAUUUCUGGUUUGUGCAAGAAUACUAGCUGCAUUGCUCGAAAAUGAACUAAAUUCAACACCUGGAAGUCUGGAAAUAAGAAGCAGAAAUGUAAAUUAUAUGACUGCAACUCAACUUAACUACGAAUAAGAGAACGAUGACAUGAUUGUUGUCUCUGCGAGUAGUAGCAGAUUGUCGAAGCUUGUUGAUCUUAUAUUCAAAGAAAUUGUACACAGAAGAAACAAUCAUGCCGGAAUUCUCUUCAGUUCUUCAAGACCAAGUGCAUUGGUCGAUUUUCACUAAUACGAGUAAUUUUCUAGAAAAUUAAGGACUAUAGACAGUAAAAUAUCGACUGCAUGGAUAAAGUGAUCCCUCUUUUUUAGAAAAAAGAAGAUAAAGUGAUCUCAGGAUUGAUCUAUUAUACCAUCGGUCAUCAGAUGAACAGUAACAGCAGAAGGAAGAAAAUCUAAGUAAUCAAACCUUGACGAAAUUUCCGAGGGAUUUGGUGGAUCGACGGGUAGACGUGUGAAAAAAAUCCCUAAUCCGAGCAAGUUGUUGAAUCUUUUCCCGUUUUUGGGCACUCUCGUUGGCCAUCAUUCUGGCUCCGCCGAGACAUUUUCCGGUGAUCUCUUUGGCGGCUAGCUCCGUAGGCCAUGUGUCAGUGUGGCAAUUUGCAGCUAUUUUUGGUCUCAUGUAUUUAUUGGGCUUACAAUAGAUAUGGAAGGUUAAUUGGGCUAGCCUUGAAAUUCAGAUUCCACAUGUGAAAACAUAUCCAAUGGGCUCAGAAUAUUGGGGCUUUGUUAUUUGUAUGCUAGCUAACCCAAAAUCAUAACUCUUGG
rnacentral:lncRNA from 1 species